rnacentral:rRNA from 1 species
GUGUCAGCCGCCGCGGUAACACGUAGGGCGCAAGCGUUGUCCGGAAUCAUUGGGCGUAAAGAGCUCGUAGGCGGUUUGUCGCGUCUGCUGUGAAAACUCGGGGCUUAACCCCGAGCUUGCAGUGGAUACGGGCAGACUAGAGGUAGGUAGGGGAGAAUGGAAUUCCCGGUGUGGCGGUGAAAUGCGCAGAUAUCGGGAGGAACACCGGUGGCGAAGGCGGUUCUCUGGGCCUUACCUGACGCUGAGGAGCGAAAGCGUGGGGAGCGAACAGGAUUAGAAACCCCUGUAGUCC